ACGGAAGGCAGCAGUGGGGAAUAUUGCACAAUGGGCGAAAGCCUGAUGCAGCGACGUCGCGUGAGCGAAGAAGUAUUUCGGUAUGUAAAGCUCUUUAAGCAGGAAAGAAAAUGACGGUACCUGCAGAAUAAGCCCCGGCUAACUACGUGCCAGCAGCCGCGGUAAUACGUAGGGGGCAAGCGUUAUCCGGAUUUACUGGGUGUAAAGGGAGCGUAGACGGCAAUGCAAGUCUGAAGUGAAAGCCCGUGGCUUAACUGCGGGACUGCUUUGGAAACUGCAUGGCUAGAGUGUCGGAGAGGUGAGUGGAAUUCCCAGUGUAGCGGUGAAAUGCGUAGAUAUUGGGAGGAACACCGGAGGCGAAGGCGGCUCACUGGACGAUUACUGACGUUGAGGCUCGAAAGCGUGGGGAGCAAACAGGAUUAGAUACCCUGGUA
rnacentral:rRNA from 1 species